rnacentral:rRNA from 1 species
UACGGAGGGUGCAAGCGUUAUCCGGAUUCACUGGGUUUAAAGGGUGCGUAGGUGGGCAAGUAAGUCAGUGGUGAAAUCUCCGGGCUUAACCCGGAAACUGCCAUUGAUACUAUUUGUCUUGAAUACUGUGGAGGUCAGCGGAAUAUGUCAUGUAGCGGUGAAAUGCUUAGAUAUGACAUAGAACACCAAUUGCGAAGGCAGCUGGCUACACAAAUAUUGACACUGAGGCACGAAGGCGUGGGGAUCAAACAGG